GUGGGGGAACGGCUGGCCUACGCAACCAUCCACAGCUGGUCUGACAGGAUGACCAGCCACACUGG
rnacentral:rRNA from 1 species